rnacentral:rRNA from 1 species
UACGUAGGGGGCAAGCGUUGUCCGGAUUUAUUGGGCGUAAAGAGCUCGUAGGCGGCUCGUUGCGUCGGCUGUGAAAACCCGCAGCUCAACUGUGGGCUUGCAGCUGAUACGGGCGGGCUGGGAUUCGGUAGGGGAGACUGGAAUUCCUGGUGUAGCGGUGAAAUGCGCAGAUAUCAGGAGGAACACCGGUGGCGAAGGCGGGUCUCUGGGCCGAUAUCGACGCUGAGGAGCGAAAGCGUGGGGAGCGAACAGG